UUUCCGUAGGUGAACCUGCGGAAGGAUCAUUACCGAAACGAAAUGCUUACAGCAAGCAUUGUUGGUCGUUGAAACACAGACAUAGAUACAAAGUCGGCUGUUGGCAGAACGCAGUCGCACGGUGGACGAAAAGCCAGUGGUGCAUGGCAAACAAAUUAUCAGGACAAACCCGAGUGAGAGAACUAUGAGAGAACUGACAAACGAAGCAGAAUUCGUGCAGUCGCAUUCACGAUAACUCGUGCUUGCGGCGAAGAAGGGGACAACCACAGUGAAUACUCGUUGAAACUUCGGGGUACCUUUCGGGCUGCCGAUUGACCGUAAUUGUCGGCUUGGCCCAGUGAGCAGGUUGCGGGAGUUCCCCGCGGCUUUGCGAAGGUUCAAAGAAUCGCUUUCGUCUUCGUCGGUUCGCCGGCGUGCGGCGACGGAGCGGUCGCCCCGAAGCCAUGUUUUUUGUCUUUCGUACGGUUGCUAUCCGACGUCUGCCGGUCGACGGAGACCGCCCCGGUCGUCUGGGGUGGACGAAGUCGUGCCGGUACGGCGCUGCCACAGUGUGAUAAAGUGAUACAACUCUAAGCGGUGGAUCACUCGGCUCGUGUGUCGAUGAAGAGCGCAGCCAGCUGCGUGAAGUAAUGUGAAUUGCAGGACACAUUGAACAUCGAUAUCUUGAACGCACAUUGCGGCCUCGGGUAUUCCCGAGGCCACGCCUGUCUCAGGGUCGGUUGAACUUAUCUAUCGUCGGUUGACCGUAAAUGCCGACGCAUUGGAUCGUCGCGGAGCGCUGACCGUAAAGGCGCGAUCGGUUGACCGAAAUUGCCGAUCGCGCUGCGCGCCACGUCGUCCGAAGUACAGACGGGUCUGCCUAUGCUUUGCCGACCGCACGUCCUAAAUCCGCCCUUGCGGACGGGGACGGCGACUCGGACCUCAAGAGAAGCCGUCGCCUGUUGCUCUGGCGGUACGGUUGGCUCAGCGGUGGCGGACCCACGAACGAAAAGACGCGUUGUCGGCGGCGAAGCAAUUCGUCGUCGUCGGCCGUCAUCUUCUUCGACCUGAGAUCAGACGAGAUUACCCGCUGAAUUUAA
rnacentral:rRNA from 1 species